rnacentral:tRNA from 1 species
GGAGAGAUCAGGUCACUGGUGUGGCCCGCGGUCUUCAAAACCGUGACGCGGGACCGAGUUCCGCGGGCAGGUUCGAUUCCUGUAUCUCUCC